rnacentral:piRNA from 1 species
GCUGAGAAUGUGCUUAAGUUACCCGGUU